CCAUUUAGUUUCCUUUAUAUUCUUGUAUUUACGGUUUCGUGCCCUAUAACUCUCACUCUCAGUCAGUCACUCACAGUACUACUUGGCUCUUCACCUACUGUUUGCCGGGUAACAGUGCUACUCUACAAUGGCACCGAAUCCCAAAAUUAUGAACGCCUUUCGGGCGAUGAAGAAUCUUGGUAUACCCCAAGACAAAGUGAAACCUGUUUUGAAGAAACUUCUUAAAUUGUAUGACAACAACUGGUUAUAUGUUGAGGAAGAAAAUUAUAGAGCUUUAGCUGAUGCCAUCUUUGAAGCUGAUGAUGAUCAAUCCAAGGGAGGAAAUAUUGAGGAAGAAGCUGAGGUGCAUGAUGAACCUGAGCAGCCGUUGAAAAGACAGCGGUUAAGAAGUGAAGAAGGGCAAGCCUGUGCUGUUUCGGAUGACUCCAACUCAAUGUCUGGUGGACCUCUGAUGAAAAAGCCUAAAGUAGAGGGUGAAGCAGCGCGUGGUGCAAAUGCUUUACAGAGAUCGCCAGAUAUGAGGAAGCCGCAACCUGGGGAUCUUUCUCCCCAGAAUCGUAAUUCAGAGUCGUCGCAGAUGCGGAACUCGUAUAAGGGAAAGGAACCUAUGUUGCUGCAAGCUGCUUCUAAAGAGAAGAGACCCAUUGUAGAGAGACCUUCUCUUGCAGUUCAGAUUAGAGAUCCUGUGGGUGAUCGAGGCAAACAAAAGAUGCGUGAAUCUAAUGCAUUGAUUAAGCCGAAAGAUGAGCCAUUUACUGAUGAGUUGCCCCCAGACAACUUGCCUUGUUAUGAGGCUCCUAUUGCAGUGAUCCGUCCAGAUUCUUCUUCAGUUAGGAGUAUAACAACAGGAAAGCCGAAUGAUCAUGUGCCACUUGCAUCCCAUUUUAGUGAAGAAAAUGGAGGUGAUACUCUUCCGGUUUCAUCAAGUGAGAGAAGAACCAAUUCUGAACUUGCUGCAGCAACUCAAGAUAAAUCUUCUUCUGACUUAGAGAUUGCAUCCUCAACAUUGGGAGAGGUGAAGAUUUCUUUGAGUUGUCACUCAUUGCUUGGAAAGCCAAAUUUUCACAUGCCUAGUCAAGAUGAGCUGCUGAAAUCAAUGCAGGAGAAAUGUCUACAGUCAUAUAAAAUAAUUGAUCCUAAUUUUUCUGUCUUGCAAAUGCUGAAAGAUAUAUGUGAGUGCUUCCUGGAAUUGGGAACUGAUUCCUCUCAUGAAUCGCAGGAGAGUGUCAUGAAUGUAACAACAACAGUUGAUGUAUUGAAGAAACCAGCUGCCUGCAUUGCUUUGGGCAAUGGAUUAGUGGAUAUGUGUAGCUUGACUGAAGAGUCCGCAGAACGAAUUACAAGGCCACUACAACCCAUCAUUGAGGAUACACAAGCUAGUGCUAAUGGUUCUGUUGAAAUUGACAGAGGGGAUGAGUUAGAAGACCCCGAGUCACAUAGUCUGGUGGUUGUUCCACAGAAUCAGCUCACUUCUUCAGAGAUCAGAUCACUUCAUGAUAUCAGUGACAUUGCUAAGGGGGAAGAAUUUGUUGAAAUUCCAUGGUUAAAUGAAAUCAACAAAGAAUGCCCUCCAUCUUUCAACUACAUUUCUCAAAACCUCAUUUUUCAAAAUGCUCAUGUGAAGUUCACUCUCUCUCAAAUCAAGGCUGAAAAUUGUUGUUCUACAUGUAUUGGUGAUUGUCUGUCCUCCACUACAGUUUGUGCUUGUGCCAGUGAAAAUGGAGAUAAGUUCGCAUACAAUUCACAGGGCCUUCUCACGGAAGAGUUUUUAGAGGACUGUAUCUCUAUAACUCGCGACCCUCAACGGCAAUGCCUGUCUUAUUGUAAAGCUUGCCCACUUGAAAGAUCAAAAAAUGAAGAGAUCUUAGAACCAUGCAAGGGCCAUGUGAAGAGGAAUUAUAUAAAAGAAUGCUGGAGCAAAUGUGCCUGCCAUAAGCUGUGUGGAAAUCGAGUAGUGCAGCGAGGUAUAAUGUGUCAAUUACAGGUUUUCUUUACACCCGAAGGAAAGGGAUGGGGUCUCAGAACCCUAGAUAAGUUGCCGAAAGGGACCUUUGUGUGCGAGUAUGUUGGAGAAAUACUAACUGGCAAGGAGUUGCAAGAGAGAAAGAUGCAAAGAACAAGAGGCACCAAUGUUAACCGUCAUACAUGUUCAGUUUUACUGGACGCAUAUUGGUGCUUGAAAGGAGCAGUGAAGGACGAAGAAACUCUUUGUUUGGAUGCAUCAUUUUUUGGAAAUGUUGCUAGGUUUAUCAAUCACAGGUGCCUUGAUUCAAACUUGAUUGAGAUCCCAGUCAAAAUGGAUACACCAGAUCAUCAUUACUAUCAUCUUGCCUUCUUUACCACUAGAGAUGUAGAUGCUAUGGAAGAACUAACAUGGGAUUAUGGUAUUGAUUUCGACGAUAAUGAUCAUCCUGUGGAGAUGUUCCGGUGCUUAUGUGGUAGCAAGUUCUGCAGGAACAUGAAACGUUCUAAUAGGUCCAAGCAUCUGUUAAGAUGACCGACUCCAGGAGAUUAAGAGACUCGGGCUUUUUUUGUUUUUAUCUGUCGCUUCUUGACAAGUAGGAAAAGUUCAUGAAGCGGAUCUUGCAGAUUAGGUUCUAGUAGCUAUGCUUUAACUGUUGAAGAUUAGGUUAUCCUGUAAAACCAGGGGCUGAUGAGCUAUACACUGUUACAUGAGAGAUAGAUGGUAUUUGUACAGAACACAAGUCAUGCCUAUGUGUUUUGAUCUUGUAGCUAAAUAUUAGCUUAGUGGCCGGACCCUUUUCUUUUCCAGGUGUGGCCGGGGCAGGGAGACUGAAUUUUGAAUGUUGGUGUUAAUGGCUGGUUUUUUUCCCUGUCAUGGACGAUGACUGUGAAUCAGGUUACAUUUACUUUAUCCCAUCAAAUAUCAAUAGUUCAUUUAUUUGAUCUCAUCUCUAUUCUCUCCUGUGAGUAGAAUUCAUCUAUAGAUGUAUCGUCGGUGGGUGUAAACUCCAAAGAAGAUUGGAGGAUUUCAUUUUCCUUCAUGUGCUUUCCAAAUCUGUCUUCUACGAGAAAACUAUAGACAAAAUUCAGCUGUAUUCUGAGACCACGUCGACAAUAUGAGUUCAUAUCUUCCUAUUUUCACAUAUGCUUCCGAAGGUUUUACAUUCAGCCUGAAAAUAUUUUAGGAAAUCGUUCAGUACAUCUUGUUUUUCCUCAUCUUUGCUUGCUUUCAUUACAUGGCACCUCAGUUUUUCUGUUAUGCUAUCUUUAUGCUUCCUAUCAUUAGUUAAGAACUAGACUAGUCUAAUCUAACCUAUAAUCUUGAACCCGUAGUAGUUGAUAAAGCAGUUGAUUGCUCUUACUGAAUUGAGCAGCAGCAUGAGAAGCCAAAGGCAACAGGCCAAUCUGAGGAUGAGCUGAUAAUGCCUCCAGAUCAACCUUUAUUUUCAUUUCAUAUAAGAAGCAAU